AGGAGGUUUGUUUAAGAGGGAGCCAAGCAGCUGCAGCCUUGCUAUCACCCUAUGCUUGAACAACAGUAGGUAAAUUCCAGCCUCCUCCCUGCUCAGCCAGGAGCUGAGGAAUUUAAUUCUGCCUCCUUACGUGAAUAAUGCUGAAAUUGCUGACAUCGCUGACAUCUCCCAAAAGUUACCACUACACUGGACACCGUCUCAGAUGCUCUCUCAUCAGAAUUUUUAUGCCUGACAAACCAGGGGAUUUGUAUUAUUUUACGAAGCUGAGGUAUGAAAAGAUGAAAGAUAAUUGCUGCAGGACACAGAACGUCUGGAAAGAGAUGGAAAUUAGAUUCCUAUUAUCAAUGCUCACCUUCAUGCCUUUAUCCUCAUCAGAGAAUCACAGAGAAGAACAUGGCUCAAAGAGAUGUCACAAGAUGGUGGACGAAUUUCCUGGAGUUAACGAAAACAAGGUAAAAGAUUCAGCUAAACUGCAACCUCUGGCCUUAUAGAGAGAAAAUCAGCUACGUAUCUGAUUUUUCCCUGACAUAUUGCAUUAUGAGAAGGUAUGGAAAUCAUGAGAUUCACAUAUUUCCACAGCAUUGGUGCAAGUGUUAAUUCUAAUGCAUUUUCUAUUUUUUUCAUAGCUUUGUUUUUCAUAUUUCAUAUAAUUUCAUAUAAUUUCCUUACAUUUCCUUACAUGAAACUCAUAAUGUGUUUUGACUCUCCAUUAAGGAAAAAAAAAAAAAAAAAAAAAAACAAACAAGGAAGAUUUGGGGCAAUCAAAUCCCAUUAUUAAAUCAUUGUUAAAUUUUUAUCAAAGUAUAACAAUAAGGUAGGUGAAAAGGAUGGAAGCCUCCUUAAUAUUUUGCUUAAUUUUGGUUUCCUUUUUUUUUUCCCCAACUAGAAAAAGUGGUUCACUGAAAACAUAAUUGAAAGCUCUCUAAAACUAAAAGAGAAAAGACCUAUCUCAUAACAAAAUGCUUCACUAGAGCCUUCAUUUUUUUAAUGAUUACAGUAUCUUGCCUUCCCAUAAAUGUAUGCUCUAGGUAAAAAAAGUUUAUCAGUUUCAAUAGUAUAUUUGAAAAAGUAAUUUCAUAAAAAUAGAGAUUUCUAAAAAUAAAGCUUGCAGCUGGCUUUCUUUGGCAAUCUGCUUUACCUUGCUCAUUUCUGUUCUUAAAAGAAAAUCAACAAAUAAGAAUGUUCCUGGUUUUAAUUUUUUUGUGUUUUAAUGAAACCCUGGGAUCCAAGAGUGUUUUCAAGGAGCUUCUUUUGCAGGGUCCCAGCAGACAUAUUCAUCUGAAAGUAAAUUCUAGACAUUCAUUGACAGCAAUACUAUAAAAUAUACACAAGAUUUCUUAGUCUUGUCCAUCAGUCACCAUUAAUUCGUUGCAGAGCUGGUUCAUCAAAUCCAGAAGGCUUCUUGGCAGGGGGAGCUACACUGUAGGGACUGUUUGCAGAGGUUAUUUCUGGAGCUUCACUCUGUGUUUUGUCUUUGUUUUCCGCAUUCUUCAUACAGAACAACUGGAGUGCUCUAGAGAAAGUGCAAACUGAAGGAAGGCUCCUGGUUUACGUUGUUAUCAGAGGAGGAGAGGAGGGAAGGAGACACUGGGGUCUUCUUUUCUUUCCAGAAGUCUGACAUAGAUUUUGCUAUUGCUAUUGAUUUUGGCUUGGACUCAUUCUAGCUAGCUAUGGAAUCCUAAGUGAUACGCCUAAGUUAGAAACACAGCCACAGUAGACUCCCUCCAUAAUCAAUGAAAAGAAGUAUGUGCCUCUGGAGGGUGGACUGUAUCAUCCAGGAACUGAGAAGUAUUUAUUUCUCUCCAGCAACAGUGGGAAGAACCUAAAAUACUACUAUUCCUAGUUUAAAUAACUCAGAUAUUUAAAGUUAUGUCAGUGGAAUUUGAGUCUUUAUAUUCAAGUUCCUUGGAGAGCAAAAUAAUGAAGAAAAAAUGAAAAUAAUAAAUAAAAUAAAAUAACAUAACAUAAAAUAAAAUAAAAUAAUAAUGAAAAAUGAAAAUAAUGAAAGUGUUUGAAGCAUAUUUUAACACAGAACUGUGGAGUUUUGAGCUGCACUUGCUUUUUUGUUGUUUUUUGUUUGCAGGUUACGUUUCUCACCCAGAGAUGAUUAAGUUUUCACUGUUCCCUCAUAGCUUAAGAAAAAGAUUGCACAACAUUUUAAAUUCUGUUUGUAUGCCAGUUGAAGUUAAAUCUGUACACCUAACAUGACCAACAUCUCUUUGAGUCUAUUGGGUUUGAUUUGUCUGCUCUAGUACUUUUUAGGAGACAAAUGACAGUCAAUGAAGCUACACAGGCCCCUGGAAAACCAAACCAAACAAAACAAAACAAUACAAAACAAAACAAAACAAUACAAAACAAAACAAAACAAACAAAAUCUCAUUGAACCAAAAAGAAACAAAAAUGUAUAGUAUUACAAAUCUGACUUUUAGUAAAGACAAAUCAUUGUUUAAUUCUGUGUCUUGAGACUUCUGCAGAUUCUGUGGGAAGCUUUUGAGUCUCUUAUACUGGAACUUCAGCAGAACUGUGUCGGCAGAUGUGUAGUCUUGAUCCCAAUGCAUUAGGAACCUUGAAAUCAUAUCCUAAAGUAACUCCACAUAAACAAAUGCAAGAAGAACUAGAAAGCUGGAAACAUCACUUCUUUUCUCUUAAAUACCAUUACAAGAGGCAAAGUAUACCAAAGGCUUGUUUUCUUUGUGGAGAGCCACAUGCCUUAGUACCAGCCAUACUGUUCUGGGGCUGAAUUAAUAUAUUGUGAUGCUGGGCUUAGUGCAGACUGAAUAGACCAAGUACCAGAAGAAGGGGAGAGAGAGGAUCUCACAGUGGAAGGGGGGGCUUUGUCAUUUGUUUCACAUAUUCUAGGCUCAAUUAACACAUCUUGAGGUUUCUUAUGAUACUGCCAACAAGAAUUAAUGCAGAAGUUAUGCAUUUUACCUUUUAUCUCAAUUGUGUUGCACGAGUCUGGCAAAGUUGAAAAGCUGCUAAUUUAGUAGUCAGCAGUGUCAAAUAAAAUUUCUAAACUGUAUGUCUAUAAAAGAACAUCUUUGCAAUAAGGCAUUGCAAAUAUGCUUGCAAAACAGUUCAGUCAGCAAACCUGUUUUAGGUUUUGAAAUAUUUGGCAAUGACAUUUAUUAGAAUGAAACUAUAAUAUAUCAGUGAUAUAAAGAGCUGUCUCUUCAUCACUGGCGCUUUAUUAUAGGCACUAAUUUUGUGCAAAAUCCUUUAGAUUCUUUGCAAAACACCUGCUGAACUUAAAGAAAUAUGGUUACUGCUUAUGCUGAGACAGAUGUAGCUUAAUCACAUAAUACUGAAUUUGACUUUUCAGUGCCUCACAAUAAAUGAACUGAACAUACCAGCACAGGAGAUUUAAAUCUUUUUCCAAUUUGAAUAUUGUGUUCACUGACUAGAGGGCCUGAGCUACAGCCAGCUUCCUCAGGUCUCCAAUGCUAUAGAACAAUUUUGUUUAAGCUACUGUAUCUUUACAUCAGUUAAAAAAAAAAAAAAAAAAAAGGCUUUACUUUAGCCAUAUUGUUUCCUUUAGGCAUUGAUUUUCAUCCUAUUUUUAUUUUUCUGGGAUUUUUUAAGAUUCCAUGUUUAUUAUAAAAUGAAUUUUGAUCUGGAGGCAGCUAUGGUGAACAUCUUGAGCUGAGAUGGAAUAAGGGCAUUUUCUUACUCUGUCAUGAACUAGACAUAAUUAGUUUUAUAUGCUGAUUGAUUUUUGGUGGCAGGAUAAGUCAAUCUCUAUGAAUUUCACCCAACAGGUAGUGCCCAGAUUGAAAUUGUUUAAUCUUUUCUAAUUCUGGGAAUAUGUGCCUAUGUGCUUUUGAAUGUGACAGUUUCAGAUGUGGUUACUCUGUACAUGCCUGCAAAAGUGUCUAAUAAUCCAAUUAUGUAUAAUCCAAUUGGAUUGUACAAUCCAAUACGUCUAUACAUAUUAUAGAGAAGUACAUAAUACUGCAUAAAGCAUACAAAUUGAAAUGCACAAAUACCCAUAAACAUAUUCACAGAACAUGCAUGUUACAUUUUCUUCUGCAUAUAUUUUUAUCUCUUUCUAUUGAGUCUUAUUCAUACUAUGAUGUUAAAUAAUAGUACUUUGAUUUUACUUCUUCAGAUAAGCUGUGUGCUUCAUAAAAACCAUAAAACAAUGAAACCUUAUGAAUAUUUAUAUCAAUGGCUACACAGCAUUAUAGUCAUAAUCUUUGGAACUGGUUCUUACCGGUUCAGAAUUAAUUAUCAAGUUCAGUUUUAAUUGCAUUCUCCUAAAUUACAAAAAAAAAAAAGAAAAAAAAAAAAAGAAGAAAAAAAAACCACCCAUAAUUAAUUCGAUCACAAGUACUCUUGCUUUCUGCAAUCUCAUUCUUCAUGUGUAAUGAUGAGUCAGAGACACGUGAUUCAGAGGCUCCUUGUGAAACUAAUUUACUUAAAUGCUAAUGUUUCACCCACUUCAAAGAUAAAAUAAAAAUACUAUUUCUAGCUCCUGCAGCAGAUAUGUUGAGAUGAUUAUUCCUUUAGAUAAUCUGUUGUUCUUUUUUUUUUCUCUUUGGCUAGUUUUCAUGUAUGAUUGCAUGCUACAUACACACAAAACAUAUUUCAGUAGUGUUGGCUGAAAAAAUGUAGAGGAAAAUCAUCUUUCUGGAGACAACCCGCUUGAGCUCUGUACAUCAGUUGUCUUCUGCAUUAAACUACACUUGAUCUCUUCACUCAAAUAUUCAAAAUGCUUGAUAUCCUUCAAAUUUAAUCCAUAAUGAAACAGUGUGUAAAAAUCUACUAUCAAAUCCUCUGGUACAAAAGACAAAAUACACUGAGUUCCCAAGAUUUUUGGAGGAUUCCCAGAUGAAGGAGGAAUCUGUAACCAUGCAUCCCCCCAGCUCCUGCCCACCCCUCCAGGACAUAGUCUAUCUGAUAAAGAUGGUAGUCACGUGUCCUCACCAUUACUUUUUCUUUCCCUCUCCUCAUUCACCCACAACCACUACUGGGGUCACUGAUUAUCCCAUCCUCAAAUAAGAAGCUAAGCAGUCUAUAGCAAUAUCACACCCUGAAUUAGCUGAAUUUCAGCCCUGUACUUAAUAUCUUAUCUUCUUCUUGUCUGGAGAAGGAGUAUAGAGCCUUUAUUCCUUUAAUUUAGCAGCUCCAGUAUGCACAAAAGUAAGCAUCAGUAAAAAUCAAAUGCUUUUUUAGUUCUCAGUCAUCCGAAGAUCUUGUGGCCUGUUCCACAGCUGUGUAAUCACAGAAAGUUUGCUACUCAUUUCUUGCAGAUGAAGGUCCUGACAGAACCUCAAGCUAUUACCCUGUUCAGGCAGAGUGUGAAAUGGAAGAUUCAAGAUUCAUAUUCUCUGUAUAUCUGUAUCCAAAAGUCUUGCAAAUGAUCUAAGCUCAAGUCCAUCAUUUAAAGAAAAGAAGACAGAAAAAAAAAAAAAAAAAGUAUAAAAUAAAAGCAGGAAACAUUCUGCAUCUUUCCCUCAAGUUUCUAUUUGCUUUCUGAAGUCAAAUCCUAUCCAAGAGUCAUACUCCCCCUGACUGAAUAUAAGGAAAUUGUAUUUUUGAGGCAUUAGCAACUAUUUUGGAGAUAAAUCUGGAUAUUUGUUCUCAGGCUGUUCACAAGCCAUUUCACUCACUCAGCUGCUCACUAGGCAGACAGUAUAACCAGGUGCGUAAUUCUAUGCUUAUGAGUAACAUGCUGAUUUGAUCAUGGUUGCUCUGGCACCCAGGAUAUACAAUCAAUCCCUCUGAGAAAAAAAACAAAAAACAAAAAACACACAAAAACACAAAACAAACAAAGAAACAAACAAACAAAAAACACAAAUAAAACACAAAACCCACAACUUGUAAAUUAUAAAGAGUGGAACAAGCACUAGUCAGUUUUUACUUUUAAGAAAAUUUGAAGGAAGCUAAACGUGAGUUUACAUAGUAAAAUUUAGAUCCAUAUAGGGAUACCCAAAACAGUGUCAAUUCUGAAAGCAGUAACAGCACUGAAUUUGUUAGAAAUAAGGAAGGACAAAAGUAAAACAGAGAAAUAACUGAGUGAUUGCUGGGAGAUUUCGAUGAUCAGAAAAAGAAACCUAGAGAAAAACACCAAACCAUGAGUCUAAAUAUCUCUAUUAAGUAUCUUAAGAGGUAGCCAAAUUACCUCUUAUCCUGGAAGUAGUCUGGCAAAAGACAGGUAGAAACAGCAUGGAUAUCUGCAAUCUAAUGACGUGGUACUGCUGUCUAAUGACCUGAAAAGAAAAAAAAAAAAAGGCUAUGAGCCUUACUUAUCCCCAUCAAAAACACAACAACACCUAUUUAAAACUACCUUUUAUUAAAUUCAGUUUUCCUCAGCAGAAUAAUUGCUAUUUCUUUCCCUAAUUUUAGAUUACUCAGGCUGCUUAUUUUUUUCAGAUUUACUAGCUGUUAUUAUAAUGUAAGGUACUCUUUAGAGCAAGACAGAGGCAUUAUUUACACUAUUGAAGAAACACUUGUUAGACAUAUAGCAUAACAAGACUUUUUUCUAACUGCUUGAAAUCCCCAGACACUACCACAGUAAAAAGAACAAUUGCAAAAAUGGUAGGAUAUGAAAAGAAUGUAUUAGAGCAAGAGUGGAAGAGCAGUCCAAAGUAAAGCUCUGUGUGAAGUUGCAUACAGGGAAGUUGUGUCUCAGGAAGAACCAAUCAUGUACAAUCAACACUUAUGGGGAUUUAAGUCACAUGACUCUAAAGCUUAAGAUAGAGAUGCAUUACAGCAGAUGUCAGCUUGUGGAGGAAAAGCAUAAGUGCAAGAAGUGCUGUCCUUUGAGGAGAAUUCACAGAGGUGUUAUUGGCAGGGAGAAUACUUUUUUUUCCUUCUUCCAGAAGAGGCAGGUUUCUGAGAAAAUCAUGGUCCAAGAGAGAAGUUGUAGGGGUGGUAUAAGCACAGUAUUUCAGAGAAGUUUAAGUGCAUUUAUAUGUAGUAUGUCUGAAUGAGGAGGAAAAGAAAGAAUAAGAAGUUUUAAGGCCUUCCUUCAAGCAGUUCUCCUUUCUUCAUUUCUCUUUCUUCUUUUCUUUUUUUUUUUUUUUUCCACCUUUCUUUCACAGUCAAUUUGCUGCAAGUUGGAUCUUGAAAAGAACAUGCUGACAUCUAGCAGCCUUGCUUACCUGUUAGGCAGCUUUUCAAUAUUUAUGUACUGUAACCCCUGAUCAGACUGCCUUCUUCUGAAUAAAGUCCUGCAUCUCUCCUUGGGGACAUUUUAGAACCUUUUUAUAACUUAAAUCUGCAUUUAUCUCUACAUUUUUGUUUCCCUUCAGUAGUCACUUUCUCUCACAUUCUUUCUCUUUCUUUAAUGCUUGAUAUUUCUUUCCCUCUGUGGAGUUUAAUCUACACAAAUAGAUCAAGCCUGUUGUUCUCUUGCAUUUUAAAUGUGAAGAAAAUAACAAAAUAGCUUCAUUAUGAUGGGGGAAACCUCAUAGAAGUGGGUGUGCCUAGCAGCCACCUCCUCUUGGAGCUAAAUGAGGGAACAAAUAAAUGGUCUUUUGUUUAGAAGCAGCUGAAACAACGGGAGCCACUGCCCCAAAUACAGGUCACAUAUAAAAUAAAUAAGGGAUCUGCACAAUGUGGGCACAAAAAUUCACAGUGGCCUGAAACUAAACACAGCAGUAGUGGGGAGGGAAGGAGUGUGGACUUUUUUGCAGCUGUACAGAGGAGGGGUGGGAAGAAAAGGGUGAAGGGGCAGAAGCAGAAAUAGAAUAGAAAAAGGCCAGACAGCCAGAAAAGGCCUGAAAAUAUGGCUAUGAAAAAAAGAGAAAACAAACGCAGAAGAGAGGGAGGAAGAAUACACCUAUGCCGUGGUAAAAGAGAGGAAUUACCAAAGUUUCUUCUGUGACUCAAGUUCAGAAGUCAAGCUUGUGCGUGUGUUCAAGUCAAUAAUCAGGAAAAAAAGAAUUAACAUCUUAUUCCUUUUCCUCUCUGGACUUAAGCAAGAUUCAGACCUACUAUGUUCCAUUCUAUGCAUAUCCUCGUUAAUUGUUUGGAUGAGAGGAAUUAUCUUUUUGAUCUCUUUACAGAGGAUGGACAUGUCUGUUUCUGUCUAUAGCAUAUUUAGCUGACAUGCAGAGACCUACUUUAGGCAGACAGGUUGGGCUUCUUCUAUCCCUGAGAUGGCUCUGAAGGAAAACCAAGCGUCAGCAUUAAUGUAGUAAAAUUCUCAUCCUUGGUAAGUCUGUCUGAGUUUGUCUGUUAACAAUGGACAUUGAAAAAUUUACCCCAAACUGCUUUAACAAAGCAAUUUUUAUUCAUUAAAGAAAUAAAAUUGGAGAGGACCUUCUUGGCCCCUAAGGUCAAUUCCUUAUUUUCCUUUGUUGUUUUCUUAAUUAAAUUGUUAAAAAUCCUCACGACCUGCUGAACAUGUUUGUCUGUGCUUGUUUGCUGCACUGGUCUGAAUGUAACACAAUUUCUGAGUUUUGAUAGUUUGAUACUAUUCAUUGUUUAACCUUGUUAAUUUUUCAAGCUUUAUCUGCAAAACAAAUGGAAUCAUAAUCUAUUUGCUUCUUCCAAUUAGUUUUCCAGAGAUUUCGAGUCCAAAUAUAAUUUUGCCAUUUUUGAAUAUCACUUUUCAGUCUUCUACCCUUAGAUCCAAGAGUUUAUUUUUUUCCUCUUUUUUAUGUUAAGUGAGAAAUUGCUCACUUUUGUCACUGGGAAAGUACAUCUGUGUUAAUUUCUGACAACCAGCUUUCUUUUUAGUUUUGGCUGAUAUGUUCUGUAUUCUUUUUUCUCUAGUGAAGUUUAAAUUACAUUAGAAACAAAGAAAUGAGAAGUAAAAAAAAAAAAAAAUCCUAAAAACUUUCCAACAGAUUAUAAAUGAGAGUUUCAAUACUACAUGACACUAUUGACAAUACCUGAGAGUUACUCAUAGUCUUCUUUUAAGCUGUUAGCGUUUGCUCUCAAAAAGUAAAUGUCAACCCAGAACAUUAACAACAGAACAAAACUUCCUGUUUAUCCUACCAUCAGCUUGAGUUGCUUGUUUUUUUCUGUGAAAUUUUGAAUAGGGAUUUUUCUCCUCAAAUUGAAAACAAACAAAAAACAAUACAAACAAACAAACAAACAAACCAACCCACAAAACAAAACAAACAAAAAAAACCCAACCCACCUCUGUGCUUUCUUUCAGUCUUCUUUCUUUCAGCCUUUUUCUUCCUGUUACUCACUUUGCCCUUGCUGUGGGGGAUGGAAAGUGAGGAAGAGAAACAUUAAGCACAGGUGAAAAGAAAUAAAGGACAGUAGUUCAUAUAAUUAUUUCUUUGUUUUUCAGUAACACCUCAAAGAUGUCACACUCUUCACAUCACAUAGCUCAAAAGCACAAGCAAGAUUCACACUAUACUUUUAAACACUAAAGAGGGACCAAAGGUGAAGAAUCAGAGGUAGUAUUUCAUUUAAUCUUCACAAAGUGCUCAAAUACCAGAGCCCUGUAGGUUAAUAGCAGUAUGGCUGGUAGAGGAGAUACCACACACUGAGCACCAUUUCAGGACAAUCUCUGGCUGAGGAAUUCAGAUGCAUGUGAGGAAGAGCCCUUACAGGAGGGUUGCUUCUUUGACAUACAAACAGCUACAACUUAAUAUCCCUUUUGCAUAAUGUGGAAUCAAUGCCUCAGCCUCCUUUAAACUUUCAGGGAAACACUUGCAGUGGUGCACUGGCCAUUGUCUCCCUCACAGGAUCUGGAGCCAAGGGCACAUGGAGUCCCCAGGGAUGUGCUUUCUCUCCAGAGGAAGCAUUUACCACAGCUAGCCCUUUGCAACAAGCAGGGGCUGUGUUUCCAUUUCACUGCCUGUUUGACCAGACACUAAGUCAUAGUGUGGUUCCCCCUGCCCAGUCACCUCUUUAUCCAAAGCAUGACAGAUUUACUGGGCCAGGUCUUCAUCUGAUGUAAAUCGGCAUUGCUGCAUUGAUUCCUGUGGGUCUGUGCCGAUUUAUAUCAGCUGAGGAUCUGGUCCAUUUUCAUGAUAUUUGAACAUCAAUCUUUGCAUCCCCUUUUCCUAUCUGUAGGCUUUUUCUGUUGUGCCUCUGAGGAGAAAACACAAAUGAGUUAAGAGUCUGUCACUGGCCCAGGGAAGAAUUUGCUUUUCUUUCUUUGUGACUAGGGUCUCUCCUGGUAAUUUCCAUGGCAGGUCCCUUACAAGUUUCUCCAAAACUUGUUACCAUGUUCUCCUGAGGAUGUCAGCUCCUGCUGCAGACUGAAACAUUAACAGGGGAAGUUAUUAGCUAUUCUCUUUACAUACUGUCUUUCUUUAUAUCUGAAUUAUUAGAAGGAUGAAUGCUCAUCAUCACAAGAAAUAAUGAGUUUUAGAAAGUGAAAAUGAAACUGGCAAAAACAAUAGAAAUCUGAUCUUGGCAGAGGGGUCCACAGAGAAGAGGAACAAAGAAGAAGAAGAUAAAAAAGAAAAACUGAGAACCUAAAAGGAAAAUAAAAGAAAGGAGGGGAAAAAAGAAGAAAAGAGAAGAAAAGGGAGUUUUGAACUGAGAAAGAGGAAACUAGUUCCUCAGCAGAAUUGGAAGCAGUCAUGGUGCAGGCAGAAGGAAGAGAACUUGUCAUCAGAUUUGAAAGAUAUUUUUCUUUCUUCCCCUCUGACUGAAUAAUAUUAAUAUCUGUCAUUAAAUCUCCAUGCUGAAUGGUCUCUUUGCACACAUGACUUUGAUGGUUCCAGGCUGGAUGUAGGACUAUGCACUCAGAGGCAAAACAGCACAGAAGCACAAUGUCUUACACCCACACAGAGCCUAGACAGCCCUCUGCCUUUCUUCCCACCCCCACCCCACCCAAAAAACAUGCAGAGAGUAGCUGUCAAAAUUGUCUAACCAUGAAACAGUUCUGUACAUCAGGUGUGCAUUCGCUGUAGCAGGACUGCUCCUGGUUGAGGAAGAAGCACAAGAACAAAGACAGUGAAAGAACUAAGAGAGGGGGGAAAUAUUAAAAACAAAACAAAACAAAACUAAAGCAAACAAACAAAAACAAAACAAACAAAAAACCCCACAACCAAUCAAACAAACAAAAACAACAACAAAAAAAACAACAAAAAAAAAGCCACAGCAACCUGCCAAGUGUUCUUCUUGCCCCUGCCUUUCUUGGUUUAUAAUUGAUGAAGCCUUAUUACAGCUUUUCUUGGAAAGAAUCUUUUUGAUCACUCUUAAGACAAAGAUUUCUUUUUCCCUUUUCCUUCAUUCUGCUGAUAAAAUAAAAAGCUGAAAGGAGUUAAUAAUUAAUGUGAAGAUUUUGCCUAUACUUAUCCAUCUGCUUUCAGCAGUUUAAGUAAUUGAUUUCCUCAGCUUGAGACCACACAUAAUCCUCUUAAUACAUUGUGUUUGUAGUUUGCUCGGUUGAUACCUGUCUGUCUGCCGUUUUAGGAGGCAGAAACAGUUAGAUUACCAAUGCUGUAAUGGUGAGAUCCUCAUUCAGGUUCCUGCUUCGCCACUUACCUUCUCUGUGGUCAUGACUAUGCCACUCAACUCUCUGGUUCGAGUUUCUUUUUAUCAAAAACAUCACGGGACUUUGCUCCUUCUGGUGAAGUCAUAUGAAAAUGGUCUGAGGGUGCAUGUAUCACAGGGGCAUACAAGUUAAGACCGCUUUAUAGAACCAGCAAUGACCAUUUCACUUCUGAACAAUAGGUAUAUUUUGAUACUCCUCUGGCAGAAUUUUUCUUUUUCUGCAAUAUGCAGAGGAGAAACCUCUAACCCGUAUCAUAGUACAUGACUAAUAACAUUGGAGUGGUUAAUGUUGAGACCAUACAUGAAAAUGUAAGAGUCUCAGUGAAAAUAGCAAGGCAAAACUAAAAAAAAAAAAAAAAAAAAAAUAAGUGUAUUAUUUUUGCAUGAACUCAGGGCAUUACACUCCCCAUCUUAAAUUUUUACACUAUUGCCCACUUUAGAUUGGUACUAGGGACAUUUCAAGUGGUGGAGCAUGAAAUUUCUUGUUCUUACCUAAUUUGGGAUGAUCGAAAUUCCUUCUGAAGGGCUCUCCAUUUGAGACCGCCUAUGCAAACUUUGACUGCCUUUACUCAGUAUUCAGCUUAGAAUGUCUCAUGUUUUUAAACUGUAAAUCAGAGACUAUAUCUUUUUAAGUCUUGGGAGGGUUGUUUGCCUUGGAGAGACAGGAAUACGGUGUGCUUUUUCUAAAUAUGUGAACAUAGAAAUAAGCUUGAUUCACACCAGAGACAUUCAGAGGCAGAUGUAGUGUCUUCAACAGUCACGGUUCUUCAUCACAGCUUCAUAGUCCUGCAGGGUAAUUCAAAAAGGACAUCAAUGAAUCUUGAGGAGGGGUUAUUUUGCCUUUUUUUUUUUUUUUUACUCCUCCCCUUGACAAGCUACCAGAUAUUUCUGGUGUCUGAGUGUACUAAUUGAUGUAAAUUUGUGUGACGUCCUCCUGGGAGUCACUUACCUUAUACCACAGAUGGUCUCCUGGGAGAUGUGGAUCUCAGCUGCAGUCCUGUGAAGAAAAGCUAAGUGAUCCUCUACCUUAGAUGAACUGUGAUCAAGACACACUAUAAUACAAAGAGAAAGAAUCUCAGGACACCUGAUACAAGCUGCACAGAAUAAUGAAAUAUGGAAUUGCAAAGUAACUAAUGUAAAUGAUAAAAAAUACACUCUUAAGACUGUUUGAUACCUCCCUUUGAAGGUUUCAAAUGAAUAGAGAUAAAAGCUUGUUAGGGAAGCCUGCAUUUCAGUAUGACUGAUUUUGAAAAAUAGAUAUUUUAUUACACUUUUCAUCAAAAAUCUUCUUCAGAAAUUUUGUCUGCAGUGCAUUAUGGAAAAAAUCCAUAAACUUGUAGUCUUUUUGAAUGAUCAGGAACUGAAAAGGUAAAAAUAGCUGGAUUUUUGGCAACAAAAAAUAAUUAAUUUUGUAAAAAAAAAAAGAACUAGUGGUCUUUUUAUAAUAUUGAACUGGUAAGUAACAUUUCAAAAUGUUAAUAUUUUAGGAAAAAUAUUAUUGAUAGAAAGGGAUUUUUCUUCAUUAAUUACAUCCAAAUAACGCUAAACAAUAUUGCAAACUAGAAAAAAAAAAUCUGUCUCUUGUUGGAUCUAUUUCAAAAUAUAGCAAGUAGAUUUACAUAAUCAUAGAUCAGUUUGGUGACCUCCUUCCCCUGAUAAGACAAUGACCAUCAGCCAAUGAAAAUUAAAGCUUUUUGACUCUAUGUCACCCUUUCCAUUCCCAAAUGAAAUGCAAAACCUAUCAUUGUACUUCAGAACAAUAUGUACUGCACAAAAAAGAAUUAUGUUGAUGACUGCGUAGUUCUUUCUUUCCUUGGUAGGGCUAUUUCCAUUUCAUUUUAAUUAUUACUGGAGAAGUAUUUCACUGGAUGUCUUAUUGAGAUGUUGACCCUUAGCUUGCAAACAACGUGUCAUGCUUUUCAUGUUUGGUAGGAGGUGAGAUAAUCAAAUGAGGCCAGUACUGACUUCUGACUUGCUUCAAGAUAUAUGAUAAGUUAUUAUGAGGUGUCACUUACUUAAUCAUACUCAAGGAUGUUAAUAUUUUGUGCCAUGCCAUGAAUGAUAAGGUGCUGUAACUCAGAAGUUACUUUCUGUCACAACUGUCAAGCAGGACAUGAAAUCUUGUCCCACCAGUAAAAUGUACUUAUCUACCUACGUAAUUUAGGACUGAGACUACAAUGUCAUUGCUGCACUAUCACAGGGAAAUAUCAUGUUGAUGGAGCUGAAGCCGAGAAAAUUUGGUUCUAUUUAUUUGCACAUCGCUUGUGAAUUUAGCCACUGAAUUUUAUUGUAUUGCUUCAUGCACCAAAUUAUUUUCCUUCACCAUUUAGAGGAAAAAGAUACUUAUCAGAGCAAGAAUAUAUACUCCUCUUGAAAUCAACGAUUUACAGAUUUCACUGACACCACCAAUGUCAAUCUGGCAGAGAAGUACAACCAAGCACAGUAUUAUUAGAUCUCCACAGAUAAAAGGAUAAGAAUCGGGGGUCUUUAAAAUAAAAUUGCUACAAAGGGAUAUAAAGAAAAUUAUUAUUCUUCUCCUCAGUACAAGAACCAUAUGGUAAACAAUGAAACAUUUAGGCAGUGGGGUAAAUAUAUAUUUUUUUCCGUUAAUAAUAUAACUGUAUUGUGUAACUCUUUGCCAUAGAGUUUAAUAGAAACCAAGACUAUAUAUAUUAGCUAUAAAAUAAUUUUAUUCAUUUAUAAAAAAUACAUUUGUUGAUAGUGUUAAAUUGUUUCUUAAUAUUAUUGUAAGUCCUAUUAACAAGACCUAAUUUCUACGCCAUUUCAAGGCAACCAGACAAUACCAGUGACUGAUCUAACCACUAGGUGCUACUCCAAUAGGAGGAAGACAGAAGCUCCAUUUCCACUAAAAUAAAUAUAUUUGCUGGAUGGGAGGACUGAGGGUACAUGACAUACUAGUGCUCUGCAUAAAGAGAUUACCAAAGUUUCUGUGAUCUCAGGGUCAUGAGCAUCUUCUGAAUACAGGUUCUUUGGUUCAGCUCAUGGCAUUGGAAAAUAGCUUUAAAUACAUGUCAGUCUGUAUGUAACAGAAAUUUUAAACUCUGUAGGUGUGGCACUUGCAUGCACCCCAAUAAUUUCCAGAGCUUUCAAUUUGACAGUUGAUGCCUUUUUAGCAACUUUUGUGUCCCACUGUGGCUGUUCUCACGUCCCCUUCCACCUGGGCAUGGUGACUCCAGUCACAUACAACCAGUCAGUUGGAGGAGCAGGAGGGAUGGGACUCUUGGUCAACAGACAAGGUCCUUAGCCAACGAGGUUCCUCAGGCCCAGAGUGGCUUCUUGACCAUGUUCAUAAUGACCACAGCCAAAUUCGACCAGACUAUAAAAUGGGGUCCGGGUCAAAGAUCCCUCUUGAGUGGUCUUCUUGGAGCAGCGGGACUGUGAACGGAGACUUCCCCUUAGAGUAGUAUGCCAUCUAAGGAGACUUCGUUGGUCUGAAAGCCCUCACCUUCUCCUUGGUGAGUGCUUAUUUCUCCUGGAUAUUUCUCCUUGAGUGAGCUCUUGCCCACACCUGGACAACAGACUGUUUCUUCUGGCUACCCUUGAGUGAGAGACAUUUCUCUUUUGAGUGGGUGUGUGUAUGCUGUGGAUCAUCAUUCUCAUGUGCUCGUAUGGUAAUAAUAUCCUCAACCAGUGUAAUCAAACCUGUAGUUCAUUAAAUGUUUUUGGAGUGCUGAUUGAGUUUGGGACUGCUCACCCUGUUUCUCUUUGGUUUUGAUACAUCAUUUUGUUUUGGUUCUGCAUUAAAGUUGGUUUAAGCCUAUUUGCUUGGAGUAAUUUUGGUGUGCCUUCAUGACAUUUUGACUCCUAAAUUCAACAGAUAAGUUUUUCAGAGGGAGAGGAAAGGUGUGAUUAGCAUAAUUAUUUCUGUCUUACAGUGUCAUGGAUUCAACAGUUUCUCUGUCAAAACCAGUAAGAACAGCUCCUCAAAUAUCUUUGAGCAUAUAACUUAAUCUUGUCUAUUCUUUCUCCACAAAUCCAAGCCUUCCUGGAUGGAUCUGCUAACAUUCAGCAUUGAAUUUCUGGCAAAUUUCUCCUAUGUAAACAUCUGUACUUCUCUGAGCUACUAAUGUCUCACUAUUUCCUUUGUAACUGAAUAAGAGAUGACCUUACUUGAGUCACCAGAUAGUUGUAGCCAGUGAUCCAUCUUUAAAGGCUGAUUAGGAUUACACUGCUGGAGAAGGAAAGAAGGUGUCUAAGGAUGCUGGUGGCUGUCUGAGAUGGUUCUAUCAGAGCAGAGUAUUACAUGAGAGCCUAAAACAUUGGGGGAUGAGCCCAGGUGUAAGGUCCCAGAUACUGCACAUUUGUGUUGGCCUCAAAACUUCUGGGGAUGAAACAUCUUGCCUCUUCCAGAGUUAAAACCGUACUCGAGAUCCUAUUACAUGAAGAUAUACUCUGGACCAUCUGAACACAGAAGCAGCUCAUGAAGCUUUCGAGUUAAUUCUUCAUGGAAUUAGAACAGAUUUUAAUCAAAGAAGAAGAAAGAGAAGAAGAAAGAGAAGGGGAGGAGGAGGAAGAGGAGGAGUAGGAGGAAGAAAGAAAAAGUAGAAGGAAACUGUACCUUUUCAAAUUGCCAACACUACAGAGCUUACCACUGGCACUAUAAUUUUAUUUUUAAUGUUGGGAUUUUGUUUGUUUUUUGACUGUUCAUUGUCGUUUUUGUUUUGAUUCAUUACUGUUCAAGUGUUAGCCACUGGGUAUUUUCAGUCCUGUGUUUAUUAAAAGGAAGGAUCAUCAAUUUCCAUUUUUCCUGCGAACACUUACAGAGUCAGUUUUAUUCUUCUUCCUAGUAUAAUCUAAAAGUGUUAAUUAUUUCCUGUAAAGAUUGAAAAUCAAUAAAAAUUGUGGUGGGUACUGGAAUAAAAGUAGGACUGCAAACAUGGAGCAGUUUAAGGGCAAUAUGGAUUGCUAAUGUGGGUAUUAAGAAACUUGGUAGAAAAAUGAGGGAUGUGAAAAAGGGAAUGAUAUGUACAUUUUCCCUGGGAAGAAGUAAAGGACAAGGGAGGAAAGCAAGAAUGAGGGAACAGAGAUUUGAAGUCGUCUGUGUGGCAGGCACAGAGCAUCCCUACUUGAGGGGAAAACCAGAAGAAGAUAGACAUGUGACAGUGGAGAAUAAGGGACACAUAAAGACCCUGAUUCAAGGCAGUAAGAAGGGUCUCCAGUAUACUAAAAGAGAAGAGCUGGUGCAGUGCAUUGGACUAAGCCAACAAGAGACAUGCCAGAUGCAAUGCUUGCUCUGAUGGCAGAAACAUCCCAGUGGGAAAAAAGUGAGCUGUAUGAAAAAUGAAAAGAAACAAAAAUCCUAAACAAAGGAAAAGCCUGUGGAAAUGCUCAUUGGUUUGCACCACUGCACGUUCCAAAAGUUUUUUAGAGCAGUGUUUACAACCCAGAUAACCCAUUUCAAGCCAAGUGUGUGCAUGGGUGUGUGCGUGGGUGUGUGCGUGCAGAAAAUAAGCCACUAGCUCUUCAUUACAGAGCUGCUAGUUUUCAUAGCAAAAUGUAAGAAAUGCAGAAGGCAGACAGCCAGUAUUACAGAUCUCUCAUAAACAGCUUUGAAUAAAGUGACCUGCUCUUUAUUCACCAACCUAGGAGCUUUUUCAGAUAAAAUUUCCACCUACUUCCUCUCACAUUCUUUUCAAAUUUUGAACUAGAUCUUCUAGUCCAGCCAAUAUCACAGGGAGGUAUUGUUUAGGAUUUAAGAGUAUUAUCCUUCUUCUCCCACAGACUGCAAGGCUGGUUCCGCUUCCUCCCUACAGAGCUAAGAAACUAAUUUUCAUGAUCUUGAAAAAGAGAAACCUUUUCUGAUAGCUUUUCCCUUGAAUGCUUGAUGUGUAGAGCUGUGUUUCUUCCCUCCACAGGGGUGAAGACUCAGAAAAUCUGAGCAACUAACUGCGCCUAAGUAUUUACACUUCAAUAUUUUAUUAAAUGAUCACUUAGUAUUAUCCACUCAGUACAACAGGAGCCAGCUACAAGACUCCCUUAAGACUACAAGAGACAAAUCUGCAGAAUGUUGCACUUCUUUCUUUAGGACCAAGUCUAACCAUAAAAGUGCAUAGCCCAACAUGGACCAGUUGUGUUACACCCACCUUGGAGCAAAUACAACCAACCUUCCUGCUUCAGCAUAGUUGAAGCAUAAUGCUGCUGGCUUUUGGGUCUUGCAAAAUUUUGAGAGGUGCUGUUGCUAAGCUAGAGAAAGGAGAAAUAGCAGCUAAGAAUUUGGAAUAAUUUCUGUUUCACUGUGUUCAUUUUUUGUUCAUCUGUUACACUGUGAGCAGCUCACUGCACUGCUAGCUUAUUUUUGUGUUAUCGUGGUCACAGACAGCCAGCAGGGACUAUAUGUCUCAGUUUUUCAAACACUGUAUGAGGCCAAACACAUUUCUAUUGCCUUCCUUCAAAGUUCUAAUAGUUUAUCUCAUGGAUUUCCUUAUAUUUGAGGUAGGUACAAUGCCAAAUAUGCCAGGGGGCUGGCCUUUGCCUACAAUAUGUAUUUUAGGAUCCCUAAAACUCAUUUCUCCUAAUCUCAUCCUGGUCAACAGGAAGAACUCUGCCUGUCCUUAACAGGGCUGGACAGGUUUGGUGAGUUAUUCUAUGCUUUCAAAGAGCUGUGUGCAUAGCAGAUGUCGUUACAAAGCGUGUGUGCUUGAUCAUACAGAAUAGGAAAUAGUGACCAGAGCUAGACUGAAAACCUGGCCCUAUCACUUCAAAGGAAAGAAGAAGAAAAGAAAAAUAAUGUUACCUUCUGAACAGCUUUUGUAUUUGCACACACUAAGGUUAAUCAAAUCUUAUUCUUCAGAGUCUAUGUUUGAUUAACACUUCCUCUUAUUUGUGAUUCUACUCUUAGCUGCAGAAAGAAGAGAGUUCAUGUUGGUUCUAGGAUAUUUUUGAUAUUUUUUUUCUGUUACUCACCACAGAAACUUUGAAAACCAGUGGCGGUGCUGAGAAAUGGUCUACACAGAACAGCUCUGUUUCAACAGAGAGAUUGGGAAGCCUGCAAGUUUUGAUGUGUACUAGAAAAUAAAAUUAUAUUCUCCUUAUUAUGGUUAAGUGCCUGCCUUCUUCUGAAUCUUUAUGACUGAAAUGGAUUAUUUUUCUACGAACUCUUGAGGUAGGGAAGAUCUCACACUCCUUCAAACUAAGGAAUGUGAAUUAGAAGUUAUUUUUGCAUUGUGAUUUAACUCAUGGAGAAACUAAACUAAAGCAAGUGUUGUAUUUUGUUUUGUUUCUUUAAACUCUCAUAGAUAAGUAAGAACAGCCAGAAGGAAAUCUGGGUUCUCGAAAUCCUCAGCCGCCUUCUCUCUCUCUCCUGUUUGUGAGAUACUCUUCUUUCUGUUAAUCUUCAAAGUCCUGUGUUGAACUACCUCUUCCUUUUGGCAUUUAUUUAUUUUCUUUUUAGUUAUUUUGACUUGUAGAUUCUGAGAGGCACUAACUCUGUCCAUUCAGUAUAGCACUAUCAACUUCACUAAUUUUCUGGUAAUUUACUCGUUGGGGUCUGUAAGAGUUUAUGAUAGCAAGGUCAUGGAACUACAGGCAUUUGUAAUUUCAUGAAGAGUUUAAGGUGUGGGUAAUUUGCAAUGUAGUUAUUAGGGACAUAAGCACCUGUGUGCAUACCUGGCCUUACUGACUGUCACAGGGGUGAAGUACGUACCAAAGCUGCCCAUCUUAUCUAACAAUAUAUUCAGCACUGUCAAGGAGGCACAAUCUGUUGAGAACACUGCACUCCUUCCAACAUUAUCACCUGGGUUUGGCCUGUUUCAGGUGAUUCAUGUUUUGAAGAAUUUUGGAAAGUAGAUUUUUCACUAAAAAUAAUAGCAAACAGGAGAGUGGGUUGCAUGAUAACCUUAGGAAUUAAAUGGGCAAAACUGCAACCUUGAAUUGAGGGUAUAUGGAAUGUGAGGUUAAUGUCUCAGAGAGACCAUUAGGCUGUGUGUAUUUUGUAGCUGUAGAUAUCGUGCAACCUUGAAUGGUACCAUGGGUUAAUUAUUCUACCCUGGUAGACUUCUGAAAGGAAAUGUAUUUUGGCUUUCUGAAGACCACUGUGGGAAACAGAGGGAGAAGCUUUAGGCAAGAUACAGUUUUCAUCACUUAGAUAAACUUUCUCAUUAAGCAACUUGAAGAAGUCAAGUUUUAUGUUAUGUCUGACCCUUGUUAUUUUCUUCCUAUCUGCUUAAAAAGAAGCAGCAAUCAAAUGUCACAUUGCAAAGUCCAAAUCCAACUGAAUUUACAGGAAUUAUGACAGAGGAUAGGUGGAUUUGUACCUUAAACUACUUACCUUAAAGGAUCUAAAAGACUUGUAGCCCCAAAUUACUUUGCAUAAAAAUUACACAGAUCUGGUCCCUGUUGGGUGUACUGCCAUCACACAUAAAAAUGACAUUCAAUAGCUGUAUAUUUCUUGAUGAAAUACCUAACCAAAACAAACAAACAAACAAACAAACAAACAAACAAACAAACAAGAACAAACCCAGGGAAAAAAAAAAAAAAAACAAACAACUGAACAAUUAAAACAAACAAACAGUCCUGAUUUUGUGAAGGAAAGUAGUCAAUGUAAAGUAACUACUUAGAUGGCAAUACAUCUGAUCUUCUCAGACUGACCUUACUGUUUUAAUUAAAAAAAAAAGAUAUAUAUAUGGAUUACAGGGCUUUUUCUAGUUACAGAUUGUCAUGAUUUUAUAGGUUUACUCCCCCUGCUCCUGCAGGGGGAUUGGACUGGAUGAUCCUUUGAGGUCCCUUCCAAUCCCUAACAUUCUGUGAUUCUGUGGUACCUUGUGCAAGAGAAAAUGACUAUUUCAUCUAACUUGUAUAAAGCAGCACAGAGAACCUUUCUAGUUCAUUUUUCUUAGUAAAAAUGUCAAUAGCAAUUCUCUCCAUUAUGAACUGUAGGUUUAUUUGGAAUAAAGAAUUGUCCUUAAUUAAAUUACAUUUCCAGGUUUUAAUAUGUUUAUAUUUUCAUUGCAGUGAUGAGAGCAGCAGUUCACUCUCAACUGUCUGCUCUCACCACUUUCUUAGCUACAAGAAAUAAGAUGAAAUUUAGUGGAGCAUAGACUUUUAUUUUAUGUUACAUUGGAUUUUCAGAAUAGUUUUUGUAUUUAUUUAUAAGGUUUAUCAGAACUUGCUAAUUUAAUCUCUUUGAAAAAAUGUGUCAUCAGGCUUUUAAUGAAUGAUACAUUGGGAAAUAGGGAAUUGAUAAUGUUUUGCCAUUUCAAUACGAUCUGAAAUUCUAGUUUAGAUCUACACUUAGGAAUUAUUUAUAUCCUCUUAUGUCAUAUCAAUUUAAAUAAUAUUCCACUCAUUGAGGCAUAAAGAAUAAUGUUAAUAUUAAAGUUUCUAUUUAGAAUUUGCUAAUUGCACAUGAAGGGGUUAUAUCUGCUGCAUUCAGGGUUUUUUAAAUUUAAUUUUAUUGUAUUAGAAAAUCUAUGAGGUUAAAUCUGCAGAAAUUAUUGCUUUUAAAUGUUGUAUAAUAAGAAUCUUGCUGCUGUUAUGAGCACUGAAAAAUGUGCCUUCAUCUCAAAUAAGCCUUGUUAAAGCUACAGUUCUGGAACUGCCAGGAUUUAAUACUAAAUUUGGGCCCAAUCCAGCCCAGCUUUACUCAUGUGAGUAUCUCCAUCUCCUCUGAAGAAAUUUGUGCCUGAGAACGGGUUACUGCAGAUUUCUCUGCAAAGCUGUUGAUGUGGGUAAAAGCUGAAAACGGGGAAGAGAAAAUGUGAAUGUACAAUUGCCACCUAUUUAUGUAUCAAACCCCCAAAGUAUUAUGUCUCCAAAAUGUGCCUUUUAGAGGUGAUCUUUGCCAGGGAUAGAAUGACAAAAUGAAGUCUCUGUCAAGGUAUUGAAGGAGGCUGAAGAUGUAUUUUGUCCUCUCUCCACACACCUGGGUCAAGUGGACAGUAUCACAGGCUUGCAAGAGGGACAAGAACUUGACAGCUUUAUGCAGGUUUGAGGAGGCUCCUCUGCCCCCUGCCCACUCUUAUCUCCUGCUCUGUGAUGCAAAGGGCCAAACCCAGGAAAGCAUAUUGUAAAUAAUGGCUUGCUUGAUUUGAACCCUUAGGGGAAGUCACCAGAAGCAUUCUGGUCCCAUGGGAAAGAAAAAUAUUAAAGCAAAUACAAGCCUAUUGACUACUGAAGUCAAGUGGAAAACAUUCAUUGACUUCAACCUCAGUAGGAAAAGACCCAAUAUUACUGUAAAACUUAGGGACUUAAGUGAGUGACACUUUGCCUGUUGCAAUGACAGACAACAAAUCAAAUUAUCUUGCUUUAUGCUUUAAACACAGAUACUGAACCUGAUUAUCUUCUUACAUUCAUGCAGUGACAUAAAUCGGGAAGAAAUCUCUUGAUGACAGCAGGAUUACAUCAUCAUCAAACUGAUCAGAGAGAAGAAUUAGUCACAUUUUUUGUGACUAAUAUUUUAAAAAUGCAGAUAUUUUAAAAAUGUGGAACCUCAAAUGUUUCAGGUUCACAGAACAGAGAAUCUCCUUCUGCAAAUGUGUGCUUUUAAAUUUAGCCCUAGGUUAAUCUGAACAAGUUUAAUACUGCAUUUUAGACAAACAUCAAAGAAUGAGGAUCCUUAUCCUAGUUUGAAGCUGCUGAGUUUGAGGCAUCUAGUUGGGAACCUUCCCAGGACAACCUACCUUAUUAGAUCAAUUUUGCAUCCUAAUUGGUGCCAUGAAAAGAAACAAUAAUCAAUUAAGUUGUCAAAUAACUAACAAAGGGCUCCUGAAUUUCCAGAGAUUUUUUUUUUUUUUAAACAUAAAGUGGGAACUUCUAUAUAAUUUCCAAACAAAAUAGACAUUUUUGUAUAUACAUGAGUAUGUGCAUGCACACACACAUAAUUAAGGUUCUUCUUAAUAUUAUUGCAAUUAUUUCCCUUCAAUCUUUAGUACUCCUUUGGAAGGAACACUACUGAGUUCCAACGAUGACACUGAUAGCUGAGAGGCAUUCAUUUCACACUGGCUAAUUAAGUAUGUGAAGGCCACGUAAAGGAUUGGUUCUAUCAGCACAGAUUCACCAUCAACAACCUGUCCCCUGCAGGGUUAAGAAGAAGACAUUAAACGAUCAUCUGUCCCAUACACCAAAUGACAGUUUCAAGGUAGUAAAUGAAGGCUGAGGUAUUGAGGGAUAAACUUCAUUUUUAGCUUUACUACCAAAGGAAGAAAACUGUUGAGGAAUAUCACCUUCUAAAAGCUUGGAGAGGUCUAAGCAGAAUUUUUCAUUGUCUCUUUUUUAAUGUGUUUACCAGAGAUGCUCCUUGGGAGAAUUCUCAUUUCAAUGAAUGUUCAGGCUAUGCAAAUCUUGAGCUCACAGCUGACACCCCUUGCAAGCCCCGCCUGCCCUCCUCUAGGGAUGAAUUACCCCUCCGGUACAAAUUACACAUGCACACCAGAUGGGGUGAAUUGAACACUCUAACUAGAAACAGAGGGAGGAUGAUCUUGUGUUUAAUAUGAAGGUCAGGGACUCAAGAGACUUUGAUUCUAUUCCUGGCUCUGCCCCAGACCUUGUAUAACUUUGGGUGACUUGUUUAAUCGUUCUGCCUUGGUUCUUCUCAUCUAUAAAAUGGGAAUGGUAAUAUUGUAUUACAUUGCCAGGGUGUUACAAAACUAAAUGACUGCUUAUAAGACGUACUGCAAUCUGUAACUGAAAAAGAAUGCAGACAGGCCAUUUAUUACUGUUAAUAAUUUGGGGCAGGAACUUUCUUUAUGUCUUCUAAAAAAAUAUAUAUCUAUCCAGCUUUAUGAGUUUAUUUUUAGGGACAGUUUGGAGUAAUUUCUCUGUAAGAAUCAAAAUAUGAUGCAGAAAGAAAAACUGUGAGAAUAUAUAUGUGUGUAAGUGCAUGGGUGUGCAUAUAGAUAUAUAUGAAGAAAUACUAGUGGAUUAGCUUUAAAAAUGUAGGUGGGAUAGUAAGGAAGGAAGAACUACUUCGUGGUGCUCACAGUUAUUUGUCUUUUCAAACAUUGCAAAAUAAACCAAACAGGAAGCAAAUAUUUUAUCUUUUGGAAAUUUUUUUUGUGAUGGUAGUAUAGUUUUGUUUUUUUUUAAUCUAUAUUAUUUGCAUCUCAAUUCUGAAAGAAAUAACCUACUGAUCAAGUAAGUAUGUUGCACACACACACACACCCUCUUUCAGAGAAAAAGCAAAGUGUUUGACUGUUUCAUGGUAUUUAUGUCACAUUUCAUAUCCAGAUAGACUCAUUGAUCAAUUUUUUUUACUAAAUUCCCUCCCCUUUUCCCAGACUACUGCUUCUGUUGUUGAUUAGACAAUUAAAACCCUAAAAAUAUGUCUCUGCCCUAAUGGAAUGAAACAAGCAGAUUUACUAAAUUUACAUGAAUGUAUUCUGGUACCAAUGAAUGACAGCUCUCUAAACAUCUCUCUGGAUUACUAUGCCAUUUUGCCAUUAUAUAGGAUCUCUAUAUUAGAAGAUCUGGAAGUAUUUUCUGGAAAGUAUUUCAUUAAUUAACACUAACUCUCCUAUCUUCCUUCUGCUGGAGUAAAAAUUUUAUUUAUUUUUUUUUUUUCAUUAAUUUCAAUGGCAGCUGGAGGUCAGGCUACAAGAUUAGUACCCUUGUAAUGUGUCCACGGCCAACUCUGCCCAGAACAAAGAAGUGACACAGCUCUCUUUUUUUGUAGACUCUUCUGUCUAACAGUCUUAUCCAGGUAACUUUUUGCAUACUGAUGUGCUCCUGGAUUGAGUAAGACAGGAUCUGGCCCUAUGUAAUCAAAUGCCCUCUCUGAUUUGCUCUUGUUGGUAAAGUUUCAAUUAUCAAAUAUUCUGAUACAAAUUCUCGCCUGGAUUGAGAAGUGAUUUAUUUUAAUGGAACAGUAUCAAGGCCCCUCUUUGUUCCUGCCCUCGUACACCUAGGAAAGAAAGGACAUCCUUUUUCUCCCUCAAUGAGCCUGCAAAUCACUAUUCCCCCUGGAGUCUGAAUAUCUAUUCAAAAAAAGUAGCUAACUCAGAAUCUGUUCUCAUCUUCUCGUUCCUAUAAUUAAAGUUUUAAAUCCUCAACUGUAGAGGUCAAAUAGCACAUGUAGAACAUUUGUACUCCAGCUUACUGACUGUCAGUAUAGGGCCAAAUCCUUAAGGUUCUUUUUGCAGCCAAUGAAGUCAACAGAAUUUUUCCUGGAGUUAGUGACAGAUUCAGUAUGUUCCCAUUUUGAAGAUCAGUAAACUAAGGAAAAGAAUUAUUAGGUACCUACCUAUGGCAUAAGAAGGAACUGUCUAGACAGACUCUUUGAAACAUUUGGUUGUCAAAGCUGGGGCUCCAAACAUUAAAACCACCAUCAUUUUUACAAAACUGAAGAGUGCAAGACUAAAAUAACCCAUUUUGUGGAAGCAAAAAAAAUGUGACUGAAGAGACCUGGGUUUACUUUGUUGAUUCUGUCAAAGAUUUUUGAUCCUGAUGAAUUCAGGUACUUGUCUGGUACAUUAGACUCCCACUAUGCAAUAGGCUAAAAAAUAGAUUUCCAUUAUUAUUUGCUGAAGACAAGGUCUUCAAGACAAAAUGAACUUGCCAUGAAGGAUGACAUUUACAUGCAUGUGUACAUACAUAAGUACCACGAGAAUGGUCAGAGGGAUGGAACACCUCUCCUAUAGUUGUUCAACUUGGAAAAGAAAAGGCUCUGGGGAGACCUCAUUGUGGCCUUUCAGUACUCAAAAGUACUAAUACACUAUAAGAAAAAUAAAGACAGACUUUUUUAUCAGGACCUGUUGCAUUAGGACAAUGGGUGAUUCAGUCUAGACAUGAGUAAGAAAUUUUUUACUAUGAGAGUGGUAAAACACUGGAACAGGUUGCCCAGAGUGGUGGUAGAUGCCCCAUCCCUGGAAACAUUCAAGGCCAGGCUGGACGGGGCUUUGAACAACCUGAUCUAGUUGAAGAUGUCUCUGCUCAUUAUAGGGGGGGUGGACUAGAAGAUUUUUUAAGGUCAUAGAAUCAUAGAGUGUCCUGAGUUGGCAGGGAGGGACCCACGAGGAUAAUUGAGUCCAACUCCUGUCCCUUCCUAUGAAAACCCUGCAGUUCACAUCAUCACAGUAUCACAGUAUGUUUGGGAUUGGAAGGGACCUCAAAAGAUCAUCUAGUCCAAUCCCCCUGCUGGAGCAGGAACGCCUAGGUGAGGUCGCACAGGAACAUGUCCAGGCGGGUUUUGAAUGUCUCCAGAGAAGGAGACUCCACAACCUCCCUGGGCAGCCUGUUCCAGUGCUCUGUCACUCUUACUGAGAAGAAGUUUCUUCUCAAAUUUAAGUGGAAAUCAUGUGUCUGAGGGUGUUGUCCUGUCUCUGAUUGAAUCCUGACAGUCUUGGGACUGUGACACCUCCUUAGGGAACCUGUUCCAGUUCUCCACUACUCUCUGGGUAAAGAAGCUUUUCCUAACGUCCAGCGUAAACUUCCCCGGCACAUCUUCCUGCCAUUCCCUUGACUUCUAAAGAGAAGAGUUUGGUACCUGCACUUCCUCCUUUCCUUGUGAGGAAGCUGUAACCAUGAUGAGGUCUCCUCUCAGUCUCCUUUUCUCCAGGAUGAACGAAUCAAGUGACUUUAGCUGCUCCUCAUACGGCUUCUUCUCCAAACCCUUUCACCAACUUUGUAGCCUCUUCUGGACACUCUACAGUAACUUUGUAUCUUUUGUAUCCUGUGCCAUCCAGACCUGCACACAGUGCUCCAGGUGAGGCCGCACCAGUGCAGAGCAGAGCAGGACAAUCACCUCCCUCACCCAGCUGGCAAUGCUGUGCUUGAUGCACCCAGGACAUGGUUCCCCUCUUGGCUGCCAGGGCACAAUGUUGGCUCAUGUUCAACUUGCUGUCGAACAGAACCCCUACAUCCCCCUAUGCAAAGCUCUUUUCCAGCAUUUUGUCCCCCAGUCUGUAUGUACAGCCAGGAUUGCUGUGUCCCAGGUGCAAAAUCCAGCACUUGCUCUUGUUGAACUUCAUGCAAUUGCCAAUUUCAAACACAAACCAUUCUAUGAUUCUAUGAUUCUAUAUGUGAAUUUACAUGCUUGAGUUAGUUCAGCAAAUUGUGUCCCACUCAUGACUGCCCAGGCAUGUAGCCUGCAGGUUAUGAGUCCACCACAUAACUGGGAGAUGGUGGGGGUUUGUGUAUAAAACUGCUCCUACACUCUCACAUCAGCUACAGUGUAGAGACACUCAGUCUUUUGCAUCCUUUGAUUAUUGGCUGUGCAGACCACAAAAUGUGAAAAAGUUUUUCUUCUGUAUAUUUACAGCACAAUGAGAGACAGAGGGUUUCUGAACACUAGGAGCCAUUGUAUAUCGUAAAUUGCAGACAAAGUAGAUUGAAACAGGAUGAAGUUUGAACCUCAAUGUCAUUAUAAUCAAAUAUAACAUGGGUUGGUCAUUAUUACUCCUAAACUUUCCCUCUUCAACCUAGAAGUUAAAAACCAGAUGCAAACUUUUAGAUUAAAGCCCCCCCAACACUUCAACUCUUGCCUCUACUGGAAGUGAGAACAACAUAUUUAGUUAUUGCUGACAUAUAUUAACUUGCUGCUAAAUGAAAUUUAAUUUGAAGUGUUGUGUUGGAUCAUUUAUUUUGUUUUCUUUUUCCUACCGUCUAUGCGGAGUUUCUGCGUCUCCAUAAACUAACUCCUCUAAAAACUACUAGCAGGGCCUUGUGGUGAAACAGAUGUUUUACCUGUUGCUCUAUUAUAAUUAAUGUUGCACCUACUGAGCAUAAUCUGCUAGUUGAUGUUGAACCUCACAUAAUCUUGCAAAUGUUUCUUCUGCUACUUCUCUCUCUUUCUUGACUAGGGAUAUAUUUUCUGGGCGUCACUCCCUAAAUAUUUGGUGGGAACACUGGUCUGAAUUAAUUCCACUUGUCUUCAUUUGACUACCUAAGAACCUGAGUAAAGAAUACCUACUCUGUGAAGUCAACAAAGAGGAAGACAGGCAUCUUUGCAGGUGCUGAAGAUUUUAAGUGGCCAUCACUGUCUUAUUAUAAUUAUGCUUGUGAUGAAGCUCUCCUGUGAGUAGAGGAAUAACACUGUAUGUGAUGAAGACAGGCAAUUGCAACAAGAGAAGAUAAACAAUAUACCAUCAUCUCAGCUGAGUAGUAUAGGAGUAAUUUGAUUUUACUUACAUGACAAUGUGGGCCACAUUUGGGUGUUUAGUUUCUUUUGCACUUCACUUUGUCCUUCUAUAUCAUUAUUAACAAAUGCUGAUGUUCUUGGUCAGCAUAACACAAUCUCUAUUUAGCAAAAUUCUAAAAUAAAAAAAUAAAAGGGGGGGCUUGCAUAGAGAGGGUGUUUUUACUAACAUAGGUAUGGAUGAAAACAGUAAUACAAUUUCUGCAGACUUCAGAAGAACAGGCUUCAACAAUUGUUCUACCUUUCAUACUGCAGUCUAUUUGAGUGCAAAAAUGCAGGCAGGUUUGUAAAGACACCUACAACAAAUGAACACACAAAGCAAAACAAAAAAAGCCAGCCUAGGAUUACACUAAGUCUUAUUAUUAAAAAAAUAAUUUUUAAAAAAUCCACCUCUCCCUUCCCAUAACUGGGAAUCAGAACAAAAAUCUCUGAAAAAUAAAAGCUGUUUGGUUGAUUAUUAAGUAAAAUAUUCAGUGACAAAUUUCAUUAUAUGUAUCUUUUUUUCAGGCAAGCGGUAACAUUUAUGUUAUACAAACAAGGGAAUUUGAAAGGAGAAGGUUUCAGUCCACACAAUCAAUAUCCAUAAGUAAAAUUUACUUUAGACAUAUAUUUUAUUUGGAAUUCAUGUGGAAUAAUCUAUUUAUUUUCACACAGAAGCACAACAAACAUCGUAAAUAGGACAAUCUUGUCACUUUUUUACUUUGUAGAACCCCUGGAAAGAAAAAGAAAUUUUGACUCAUCACACACUGAGAACAGCACAUUAUGUCACAUUUUCCAUUUCUUUUUCCUUCAGAGCUCAGACAUUUGCACUGAUUACAAAUGGCCAAAAUAAAUCUCAACAUUUUCCCCAUAAACAGAAGACUCAGUUUCUACUACCUGGUUGACUUCAUUGAUUAAUUGAUUAAGUUGUUUUAUAAUAAAAUUUUAAAAAAUAAAAAAAGAUUUAAAAAAAUAAAAUAAACAAAAUAAAAAAUAAAAUAAAAUAAAAUAAAAUAAAAUAAAAUAAAAUAAAAUAAAAUAAAAUAAAAUAAAAUAAAAUAUAAUAUAGAAAUCAUCUUUCACCCUAAGUCACUCCAGUGCUUUAAUCUCCCACUGAAGUCCAUAAGUCAUAUCUAGAGGUGCAUAAAAAGUGAUGGGCUCAGGCUACACUGUGAUAAGCAAAGUCUGAGCUGGAGUGAGAGGAAGAGUGAGUAUGUGGCUCCAUCCCACACAGAUCUGCAUCACAUUAGGUAGAUGCAGGAGCAGCUUGCAGACUGUGAGAUACACUAACUGAACCAAGACUUAGGUAUCAUAACUCCCAUUACACCUGCAUUAAAGUCUAAGCUUCAAGAAAAUGUAUCUCCACUCCUCUUGUGGAAAGUGAUAGUAGAAACCCAGAUUAUAUCACCAGAUCAGGUAGCCUGUCUAUCUUUUGACUCUCUGGUGGAUCCAACAUCUGAUACGUGAAUACAGCCCAUUGAGGACAAGUCAUAUUCAUAAGCAUUUUGGGAAAGUGUGCACCUGUAGUGACAGCUGAGUUGGAUGAAAAGCGUGAAAUUCCCUCAUCAGUUAUGUCAAGAGUGAGAUCCCCACUGAGACACACUGGGUGGAUGGUGACAGUGUCUAAACUGUGAUCCACUGAACCAUCCUGCUCAAGACUCUGUACUGGAGCACAUAAUGUCUCACAAAUAUGAACAGAUCCAAAUACCAUACUGAUCUCCAAUUACCACAGAAGAACUGCUUACAAUUAAGAAAAGAAAUACAUGCCUACUUCUUUGAAGAUUACAUGGACAAACUGCAAAAAAGAACAGACAGCUAAAAUUAACCCCAUUUAUAUAUAGACAGUAGAUCAGAACUCCUUCUCCAAAACAAUUUGCCAAGUUAUAACCAAAACACACCCAGAUAUUGAAAUCAAACAUUUUAACGUAACACUGUCUGCUUCUAUGUUUUUUUUUUCCUAAAAAAGAGUAGGCUUUUUUUUCAUUAAAAAAAACCCCACUAUAUAUAUAUAUAUAUAUAUAUAUAUAUAUAUAUAUAUGAUCUCACCAGUGUUUACAGCAGGACAAUGGACAAUGUUUCCUACCCUGUGAUAGAACUGCAUUACAGAGAGAUCUGGCAACUUUUCCAAGGUCAUUCAUGAAAUGCAAACUGUUUUCCCAUUAUCUAUUAUGACUUUUGAAUUACUGUGAAAGCACAAAGGAGGAGAUAGCCCAAGACAGAUUAUUUUUCUUAUUUGAAAAAGGUGUGUGCAUAUGUUUGUACUUUUAUUAUCUCAUAAAUCAGAGUAAUCAAUAAGGUUAAGUGUGUAUUAGAGCCUGAGACUUCUGCUUACCAAAAACUUUGGUAUUCUAUGUUUUAUUAUCAUAAUCAAUGGCCUGAAAUCAGAAUAGCACAGCACUAACAUUCUGCCUUUUAAUCAGUUAAACUUCUCUACUACAAUAAGUAAAUUGAAAUAUUUGGCUAAAAAUGAAUGCUGGGGCCGGGGAUGUGAGAAAAGGAAGACAUUUUUUCUUGGUUUUUAACCUCCUUGUCAAGGUUUUCACUGGUACCACACUUUACAUUUUCAACUUUAUUGCACCUCCAACUGACAUGAGGACCGCUAAGUAUUUCUGAUAAAAUCUUGUUCUCUGAUGCUGCUCCUUUUCUAUUUGCAUAGGAACUUUGUCUUGAUGGAUACGUUUGCCAUUCUGAGACUGUAAAUACAGUCAGGUCCCUGCAGCUCAUGUUAUAACCAAGCAUCAGCUGAGAUUCAGUUGUGUUCUAUGGGCACGUAAUGAGUCUGUAACAGAGGAGUCAUAAAGAAAGUUAUCUCAAAGACCUUUCAGUAUUUCACCUUUCCUAAGGACUUACAUAAGCAGAGAUACAAUGUGUGUUAAUUUGUUAAACUUUGGUAAUUUGAUGAUUGGUCUGAGUCUACAAAUGUAACGGUCUCUUAUACAGAGGAUGCUUGAAGGCAAAACUGUUUUGAAUAUGGAAAAGCAUAUAGGACAAUGAAGCUGGUGAAGGGCCUGAAGCACAAAUCCUAUGAGGAGUGGUUGAGGGAACUGGGGCUGUUUAGCUUGUUGAAAAAGAGGUUGAGGGGAGACUGUAUCACUCUCUACAACUACCUGAAUGAAGGUUGCACGGAGGAGGGUGUUGGUGUCUUCUCGCAGGUAACAAGCGAUAGGACAAAAGGAAAUGGCCUCAAGUUGCACCAAGGGAGGUUUAGCUGGGACAUAAAGAGAAAUUUCUUCAUGGAAACUGUUGUCAGGCACUGAAAAGGGCUGCCCAGGGAAAAGGUUGAGUCACUAUCCCCUUACAUGGGGUUUAGUGACAGACUUGGCAGUGCUAAGUAAUGGUUGGGCUUGAUGAUUUUAAAGAUCCUUUCCAAGAUAAACAAUUCUAUGAUUCUACAGACAAAAAAGUUAUCGGACUUUUUAAAGUGGAAGCUAUCUCUCUAUUACUAAUCUUGCAAGUUAUUAAAGUAAAAUUGAUAUAGACAGAAUUCAUAUAACAACAACUUAAAAAGAUAAAAAGAUGCCUAUUUGUCUUUACCUUAACUCUGCACCAGCAUUUCAUAAGGGAAACAACCUUGCUUUAUUUUAUGGAACUUGUUCUUCUUGAGAUCUUUAAGUUAUCAUCAUUAUUCAGUGAGAAGAAAAGAUAUUUCAGACUUGGUCUAUCAAUUUUUAAUUCUUUUUCUUUAGUUAGCCACCUUCACCUUUUCAACAAAUUAGUGCCUCGGAAUUUAACCUUCGUCUCUAAUCCUUCUGAGGUUUCUUCUCAUAACUCACUUCUGGAAGAAUAUUAGUGGAUGUGAGUUUUUUCCCAGGGAGAGAUAUGCCAUCCUUCUAUUUUAAAUCAAAACCUGUUUUUUCAAAUUAGCCAAAGGAGACUGACUUAAAGUGUCCUGCGAAAAUUUUUCAGUACAGUCCCUGAAUAUUUUGCUCUGCUCGCUUUAAAGUACGUGGGUUAGAAGUGGACUUAAAGGGAAAGGAAAGAGCAAAAGGAACAUAAUACUUGAGUGUUUCAGACUUUUCACUUGCAACAGAAGUGGGCAAACAGCAUAGCCCACUCUUCAUGAAAUAAUUAUUUUGAUCUUAUAAUAAAGUAAGCUGGAUACAGAUAGGAGCAGAAUAAAUUGACCAAUCCAAUAUCCAGAAUGGUCCAGCUAAUUUUUUGUAAUAAUGAAUACUUACACUAUUAUACAUGGAAAUAUAAAAAAGUCAUCUUUCUAUCAGACCGAACUGAAUUGACAGUUGUAUUUUCUGAUUGUACAUCCAGAUUAAGCCCAUACAGACUGAGUUUUUGGUCCAUUUUCAAAGUCUUGAACUUCUUCCUCAAAGCGAAACAACCAACCAACCAAACAAACAAACAAAUAUAUAUAUAUAUAUAUACAGAGAGAGAGAGAGAGAGAGAGAGUCUAACUAUGUGUAGGGAAAAAAAAAAGAAGGAAUUACAGGCAGGAAUGACUUGUCCACAAUUUAAAAAGUAAAGUGUGACAGAGUAGGAUGUGUGCACCAUGCUUGGAACAUUUUCAUGUCAUGUCUGCAAGUCACCAUUGCUAAACCAUUAUUGUCAAGUAAAUAUAUCUUUCAUUGUUAUUACCAAGAAAGCGCAUUGGGUAUAAGUCACUUUUAGAAGAGCUGGAGAAUCUACAAAAAUGGAAGAUGAAGAUGGUUGGAUGCCUGGUAGGACUUUCCAGAUGGGGAGACUGAAACCAUGUGGGAAUCUCCAGGCUAAAGAGUGGACAGAUGGAAGGGCAUAUGUUUGUUCUUUUGCAUUCAUGCAUAAUCAUGAAUGCUAAAGAAACUCAUAUCAAGAAGAUAAUUUCUCACAUGAAAAAUAUUAAAGGGCACUCAGUGUCAAUCUGAAACUUUAAACCAAGUUAAAAUAUCUGAAAGAAAAUCUAAUACAGAUAAAGAAUAAAAAGAAAAAUCAAACAAAAAGAAAAGUCUAAUAAAAAGUCACAAAACCUAGGAGAUACAUGGAAAUGGGAUGAAAAAAAAUGCAUAAAAUUUCUUGAUUCUUUAUUCCUGUUGAUUAAAAUGUAGGGAAUGUCCACUGUAUGCUAUUGUGCAUAAAUGAUUUCUUCCAUUUCUACAUAAAAAUUAGAACUUUGUUACUUUUGGUAACUAUGACACACAAAAUAAUAAUAACUUUUUUUUUUAAUCCUUUUUUUUUUUUUUUUUUCUAUUUUAAUACCAUCCUGAAUGUGAAAUGAAGGCUUUUACUUGUAAGUAAGUUAACAUAUCUCUUAGGGCUGAAGGUUGGCUUGUUAACUUUGGCAAUACCCAAAUUAUUUUUUUGGUGUUUUACCGUGGAAAUAAUCUUACUGAACUUAACUGCUGAAUUGCAUAUUUGGAAAAUCUGUUUUUCUAUCUGAAGCUACCAACUGGACAUUCGAUUUUGAGGGGAUAUAUUCUUCCAUGUUGUCUCAUCUAUUCUACAGUGAAAGUUAACAUAGAUAUAUAGGCUGAUGGAUAGACUGAUCACUAAAUGAAUAUUUUAGACAGAUGAAUUAAGGUAUUGAGAGAUAGAUAUUGCAGAUAAAUUUUUAGAAUUUGUUUUAAUUCUAUUUUUUUUUCCUACCCUCUAUUAAACGUUUUAGUGCUGAUGAGAAGUGGACUUCUGUGAAAUGUUAUAAGUGAAUGUAUAUGAGAUCAAUAGAGAAGAGGAGAAAGCCAGCACUUUAUACUUCAGAACUCUGUGAAAUAUUGGAAUUGGAAAGGAAGGGCUAACGACAGUCCCAAGUGAAAGGUCCUGGAUUUGAUUAAAUAUUUAACAAAAAAAAAAUCUUCAUAAGAAAGUUAUGGUAGAAAAAUGAGGAGUGGUUUUGCCUUUUGACUUUCAGCUGGUAGUAAUGUACUCCAUGAAAAGUGCUUUUCCAAGAACAUCAUCAAAUUUCUGAUUACUACAGUGUCCUAAAAGAAAACUCUACAUCAGGAAUGAACAUGAAGUGUAAUAGUGGUGCUAAAGAUAAAAAGAGUAUUUACCUGUAGGGGAUACAACAUAGAGAAAUUCAGGUGAGGAAAUACAGUGGGAAAACCAUCGUGUCUGGAAGGUAAGUUAUUUUCUUGUCCGUUUCAUAUGAGAAAAAAUACCAAAGACUUCUUUCUGCACUGAAAUUUGGUCAGUGUCUAUUCCCAUUAAAUAACUCUUAGUUUUGAAUAAAGAUUUUAUUUGGUUCAGAAUACGAAGUGGGGUCAUUUUCACCAGAAAAAGAGACUAGCAAAAUUCUUUAUCUACCAAAGUUACACCUUACACUAUUUGAAAUUCCAGUAUUAUUUCUUUUUCUAACUCACAAGCAUGAAACUUAUUCUUUCUGACCUCUUAAUUAUAAAGUAUCUCCUCAAGACCAGGUCUAGUCUCUGCAGUACACCAUGCUUCACGAUGCUUCAAAACUUGAUCAGCAGCAGUCAUAGCCCCAUUCAAAAUGAAGUACAGUAAUUCCUAUUUUAAAAUGUAUGCAUAAAUAAAUGACAAUGGAAAGCUCAGAUACAUUUAGUUGUAACUUCUAAAUGCUGUUCAGUUAUAAUCUCUAGCAACUGUUCUAGAAAAGCAAUGCUAGACUUCAUCUACAGUUUAUUUCUGGGGACUUUGAACUAGCUGCCUUUCAGUUUCAAGUGUCCCUUACCCUUUUUUGUUGUUGUUGUUUUCUUCUUAAUAAGUAUUUAAUAAAUUGAGGAAGGAAUGAAAAAGAGAGAGAGGUGAGAAAAUUAGAUUUCAUUUCUCUAACCAAUACUCUUCCACUUUGCACACACUGCUGGUGGCCAUUCUAUGCAGGGUCUUGUAGCAAUUUUAAUGGACAGUAGGUUCAUGUUCAGAAUUGUUCUAUUUUAUUGUGUAUUGUCAUUUAUCCUUUGUCUAAAAAUAGAAAGGAUGCUUAUCAUGAUGACUGUGGGGGAAAAGAAAACUAAAAAGAGAGAAAAUAGGAAGGUAAUUAAUUCCAAGAAGUUAAAUCUCUUAUUUAUUUUUUUCACUUCCAACUUUUGACUGUGCUUCUGGUUAAGCAGAGCUUGAUUAUUGGUUCCAAGGCAUCAAUAAAUAGGAAAUUUUUAAUCUAUUGCAAUAAACCCUGUUUGAAUGUGUACCUAUAUCCUACCUAGAUUCAAGGCCAGGUGUUGGUAUUAAAUUACUUGAAUACUCAGAUACUCAAAAGAGAACACAGAGAUACAAUAUGUUCUGCAAAACCCAAAGACUUUUCAGCAUAUUUCUGAACAUUUUGUCUACAAUAAUCUCUUUACAAACAUAUAUUAAUUCAAAGCACACUUGCAAUAUUAUUUUUUCUCUAGUCACAGUGGAAACCACAUGGGAAUGAGCAAAAUCAGGAAGACAUACUCAGGUUAUUUUUUUUUAGCUGAAAAAUAAAAACAUAGUAUUAACUCAAUAGGACAAAAACAGAAGAAAAGGAACACAUGACACAGAUCAAAGGGCUGAUUAUGAAAGAUUUUUGUCCUUCAGUCAAUUACAGAUUUCAGGACCUUAGGAAAGUUAGUUUAUUUUUCCCCUAAUUCACCAGUCCCUAAACUGUACUCUACAACCUUUGGUAGCCUAGGAGGAAUUUCUAACCACUACUCAGCACGAGAGUUCUUAAAAGCACUGUAAAUUGAAUGUUCAUUUGAAUAAAGAUGCACAGCCAUUUACAGUGUGCAAAGUACUUGGUAACCUAUGUUGAAGGAAUACAGUGUAGGCACUAAUGUCCUGUUACUUCAGGGAGGAGUUUAAAAUGCAAGCAUAUGUUUCAGUAUUUUCACUCCAGGCAGAUUAGCCUUAAGUGCCUUAUACAAUCCUUAUUCCUGGAUCCAAUCUUAAUUGAGUCCUAUUUCUAUUAAAUAAUGUUAUAUCUUUCCUCUUUGGAAGGAAACUUGGGUGAAAGCAUAAGAAAAAAAAAUGUAACAGUUCCUCUCAUCAGGAGCUUUCACAGACCAGGACUUGAGUUCACCUCAUGGGAAGAUCCGGUCUCAAAGACAGACAAAGACCAUAGUCUUGCACUAGGUUGAACUAAUUUUCAGAGAAUCUUAACUUUCAUAUACAUAGCCCAAAAUGGGAUAAGAUGUUGGUACAUUUCAUCUUUAAAAUAUAAUUAAAGAUGCAUGCAGAGCACAAAAUUCCAAAUCCUUCUCUUACCACUACAUUAUUUUGAGUGUCAUUCAACCCAUCCCUGAAGUAUAUGUUUGUAUGAUGGCUUUGUUCUGUGCAAGCAUAUUGUACAUCAAUUUUAUUUCAGUAUCACACUACAACCUGUACUGACUGUAAAGUCACAGAUGCUUGUCUAAUCAUAUCAAAAUUUUUACUGUUCAGAUUAUGAGUAGUUUUCUAGCUUUUUCAAUUUCUCCCCACUAUCUAGGCCUCCUUUUUUAUAUAAAAUUUGCCAUUUUAUUGUAUAUUACAGAAGUGUUUCUCAAAUUUGAUGUCUUUUUUUUUUUUUUUUUUUUUUUUUUCCCAGUUUAACUGUUGUGGCUAAUUAUAAGGCAGAUUUAAAUCUGCAUGAAUUUUGCAGGCUGCUGCUUGCCUCUCCAGUUCUUUGAUUUUCUAUUAUCAGGCAAAUUACUCUAGUGUUGAUUGUUAGUAUCUUUCCCCUAUGCCUUGCCCUCAUAUGCAGAUUACAAUCAGACAACGUCCAUCUGCUGGGUCAUUCUAUAAAUCCUUUCUCAAAAGACAUUUCUUUGUGCUUGAUGGCUUCCAUUUAACUCUUCCUUCAAUAUAUACUGCACCCCAUGCAACAUAAAUCAUUAAAAACAGUCCAAAUUCUUGCAUUAGCUAUCAUGCAAGUCUCAGCUUUCUGUAGCUUUUGAGUUACUCAGAAGUCUAAACUGGGGAGACUGGAUCUGCUCAGUAGAAUUUCAAUAUUGUCAUGCAACUGAAUCAUUUGGUAUCUGAAUCACAGCCAUAUGAUCUUCUAUCUUUAUAGUGUUAUAUAUUUAUAUAGGGAGAGACAGGCUUGUCUGGUGAAGUGCAAAUUUGUUGAUCCACAAAAUAACAAGAAAGCACUUCAUCUUCUGGAGAAGUGACUCAGCCUUUCCAUAAGCUCAGGCAAAUAUUAACACAAGCUAUGACUAUUUUAUAUUUCUAAGAUUUUUGUAGAAAAAAGUCUUGUCAGUUCUGCAGUAUUAGUAUGCAACAAAACCUAUAUGAUCUCUCUCUUACAUUCUCCCUCUGUCAUUACUGCUUGGAUCAUACUUAAAAGAAAGACAAAGCAGGAAGAAAGCAACAGCACCUGGAUCAAUUUGAGCCCUACAUAAAGCUUUCUAUAACCUAUAUUCCUUUUACUUUUACUGUGGAUUGCUGUUUGUGUCCAGUAGACUUGAUUCUCCAUAAUCAAGAGCUCUUGGUGGACACCCAGCAAAGGGCAAAGAACAUUCUAACAGCUAUUCCCAUUGCUGUUCACAUUGCUCUGGCUGUGAAUAGCAGAUUUAAGUCAAAGUAGUUAUAUUGUCUUACAUGUUCUUGGAAACCUGGCUUUCAGCUCUAGUGAUGUCAUGAGAACUGUGUGUGUGGAUGUGCAUGUUCAGUUUCACCUAUUCACUUGGCCGCCUUGUUACAACUGAUAGAAACAACAGCUGAUUCUUUGACAGAUGCACCUAUCCAGCAGCAACAGGAUUGAGAUCUACAAUUACAACUUGAUAAAAUAGCUGAAUAUUCAGUUUUCUCAUUCCAGUGAAGCAAAUUCUCAAAUAACCAAUUGCAGCUUCUGGAUCAGUGCAAAGAUCUUUUAAGGCAGACCAGUUGCUUCCAGAUAAUGAAUUUUGGAACCACUCAGAGCUCCAAUUACUGAAAAUUAUAUGAAAAAAAAAAAAAAAAAAAGUGCUGGGGUUUUGCAGGUAAUUCUGGGCUUGGCAAUAUAAAGUUUACAAAGGUUGAAACAAACCCGGGAUACAUAGUUGGGUCAUGCAGUGGUUAAUUUUUCUUCCAACCCAAAAUAUAUUAUUGUCAAAGAAGUCAAAUGUGUUUUGAUGUGCACAUGUUAUACAGAGCCCUACAAGAUGUAACUGCAUCACACUGAGAAAAAUAAGAAGCAUGGUAUUCCCCCCAUAAAAUCCUCACUGAAAGAAAAUUGUCCAAAAUGCAUAUAAUCAGCGUGAAAGCACAGUUUACCUUGGUUGUUUAACAUGUCAAGCUCUAUUAAAACUGAUGCUUAUUUCCCAAAUUCAAAAGAAAGAGCAACUCACUAUGCCAUUCUUGAAAGAAGAAAAAAAUAAUAAAAUAAAUAAAUGUAUUUAGUCAGGCUCUUUCCAGACCUAACUUGCCUCAGGGUGGCAUCAGACUUGUGGGACACUGUGGGUAGUUCUCUCCAGCAUUAGGGAGUGUAGUGGAGGUGCUUUGCUAAGUGGGCUUGUGUUCCAGCAGUGUACCUGCUUAGUCAAACUUUACUGUGUUUCAGUUUUGUCAUAACUGACAGAAAGGCAAAAACAUCUAGUGCUGGACAAAUCUUGCUUGUUGCUGAGCUUAUCAACUGAGAGUCCUUUGUAUUCCAUGGAGGGAAAGAGGCACUACUGGGAGGUGAUUUGCUAACUUUGCAUUUGGUGUCUGAAAUUGCUUGUAUCAGUUAUGCCAUAAAAGUGCUAUUCAUUUCCACUACUGUCAUUGAAUGUGAGCUGUGAUGUCCAUGAACAGGCUGGUGCCUGUACUACCCAGGGAGGUGUCACAACAGGCUGGUGCCUGACAAUAUUCAAUAAGUAAUUGGACAACUCCCUCAGACACUUGGUGUGAAUUUUGGGGUUGUUCUAUACAGGGACAGGAGUUGGAAUUACUGAUCCUUGUGGGACCCUUCCAACUCAGGACAUUCUAUGAUUUUAUAUUUUUAUGAUUGUACUCUUCGGGUAUAACCUCUAUGCUGUGCUAAAAUAGUUUGAAGAGGCAUCACUGGGCCAAACCUCUGCCUGGUGUAAGCUGGAUUGUUCACAAACUUCAGUGAACGCUAUUGCUUUUUAGCAGAGGACAAUCUGACUCAUGUUUGUCAAAGUCACUGACUUUACUUAUCUGUUUCUCUUAUUUUAACAGUAGAGAUAGUUUGAAAUGUAAAGAUACCACUGUGCCUAUGGUUAUUUAAAGAGCACUCCAGACUGUUUUGAAAUGAUUUUGAGAGUUACUAGUUUAUGGCUGGAAUAUAUACUCCUUGUUCCUGCACUUGGUGUAACAUACAAAUAUAAGUCUCUCUCUUUGCUAGGUCUGUGGAAAUUUAGCUUCUCAGAUCUACAGCCAGAUAUUGGAGAGGCUUAACCUGUAGCUCUACUUUUGAACAUUUGAGUUUCUUCUUUUCGAGAUUUGCCUGUUUCAUUGUCCAUUGCACUGACAAUGACACUGACCACCUUAGCAGCACAAAAGCGCAUUAUUCUUUGCUAUAGCUGUUUUGAAUGCCAAAUUUCAACAAGGUACACAUUUUCUAGGGAGACUGGGAAGGUUCCUGACAGAGAAAUCCUUUUCAGACCACUGAAUACUGAGACACUGCCCCAGUUCAGGAACCUCUAGAGAUCAAGAAGGAUUUAGAGACACUUUAUUUCAUCUACUUGUACUGAUCUUUUUACCCUCCACAAGACAUUUGCUUUACACCUCUGUCAGAGAGAGGAGACUGAGCUGGGCAAACCUCUAGUUUGAUUUAUUUUAGCUGCCCUGAUGUUCGUAAGUAUUCAGGUCGCAGGUUGUGUUUGUGUGUAAGCACUAACAAACAUGACUGUUGUCUCUGCAGUCUGGAUAGAACAUCCACAGACUUUCUGAGUAGCACUGUCUUUUUCAAAAGGUUAUAAUUCUGGGAACAAACAGAGUAUGCAUGUCUACCUGCAUUUUGACACUACAGAAAUAUUAAACAAAUAGUUUGGUUACUACUACAAGAGUCAUCUGCAUACUGUCAACUCUAAAUUUUAAUCACAAGAUUAAAUGCAGCUAUCCUGAUGGUGCAAAUCCAUUUCACUAGUUUCUCCUCUCAAUUGGCCUGGCUCAAACCUGAUGAAAGCAUGAAAAAAAUACUUUCAAGGGUGGUUACAUGCAUAGAGAUUCACAAUUAUAGGCAGAAUGGAGGAAGAGAAAGAAAUAAGGUAAAAAUCAACUAUCAGUUACAGAUAUUUGAUGGAAAAUCAGUACCAGAACACUGUUGUAAAAUAGCAUUUUCACAAUCAGUAUCAAAAGUGGAUAUUGAAGACCACUGGAUUAAGGAGGGCUAAAUUUCCUUUUGUACACAAUCUGGAGAAGAAAAUUACUGUCUCUGACACUGAGGCUUCAGGAGUCAGAAGAGCCACUGAAAUCAAAGAGGCUUCUCAGUCUACUUCUGAAUAAGACUUCUUUCAUCAGUGUUGAAAAUUAGACUAAUCUAGAUAUUUGUCCUGGUUUCAGCUGAGAAAGAAUUCAUUUUCUACCUCAUAGCUGGUAUAGUGCUGUGUUUUGGAUUUAGUAUGAGAACAACGUUGAUAAUACACUGAUAUUUUGGUUGUUACCAAACAAUGUUUAUACCAGGUCAAGGACUUUUCAGUAAGAUGUCUGGAGAUGGCCAAGAAGCUUGGAGCGGGUACAGCCAGGAUAGCUGACCAAACUGACCAAAGUGAUAUUCCAUACCAUAUGACAUCAUGCUCAGAAUAACAGAUGGGUUUAGAAGAAAGAAGGGAGUGACAUUUGGAGUGAUGGUGUUUGUCUUCUCAAGUAACCAUUACACAUAGUGGAGCCUGGCUUUCCAGUCAAUGGCUGGACACCUAUUUGCUGAUUGUUUCGCUUUGCUUGGGUGCAUGGCUUUUAUUUUACUUAUUAAACUGCCUUUUCCUCAACCUGCACAUUUUCUCACUUUUACUAGUCUGAUUCUCUUCCUCAUCACACCAGAAGGGAGUGAGCAAAUGGCUGCGUGGUGUUUGGUUAGCAGCUGGGGUUAAACCACAACAAUGUUGAUUUUAAAUAGCAAAUUGCAAAUAAUUCUAUGGGAAAAUAUUUCACCAGAGUGGCAUGGAAUUGGACUUGCAAAAGGGAUUUUAGUGUGUUCAGAGUACUAGGAGACUAGAAUUACUAGACCCUCAGGGGUCUAUUCAAUGUCAUGUUUCUGAAGUAAGGAAACAUAAGAAUGUAUGUAAUGCAAUUCAUGCAAAGUAUCUAUCCAUAUUUCUAUGACCAACCCCUUUUCUCUCUGAAAAAAAAAAAUUCAAAUCAAUAAUGUUGUUUCAGCAACAAAACAGGCUUUAUGCAUAUAUGAGCAAUACAAAUGAAUAUUUACUCUAGAUUAUUUCUGUCACCAUUGCUUCCUUGUCUUUGAUUAUGCCUGCCUCUAGAGCCUUACUUCAGUUUUCAUAAAUCCCAGAUUCUCAUGAUAUCCAUCUACUUGCUUCAUUUUUGCUGAUGUGGUUUUAAAAUUUAUUUACAAGCUCCUCUAUGUAGUUUGUUUUUUGUUUGGUUGUGGUGGUUUUUAUUUGCUUUGUUUUUGUUUUUAUUUUUU